GUUUAGCUCAAGUCGGCUAAUCAGAUCCACGAUCACCAACCUUAGAUGAGGCACUAUCAUGAGAUUUGCAAUAAAUAUUUUUUUAAGAAAAUCAUUAUUAUGGUUGAAAAUUUAAUAUUUGAGUUUAAUGUAAAAUGAUGCAUCAAUAUGGUUUCCCCAAUAAAAAUGGACUUCUCUUUAAAUUUCUACAAAAUAAUCGAAUCCCCAUUU
rnacentral:lncRNA from 1 species